UGAAUACGAGACGCUAAGGCGUCGAAGUAGUGUAUGUCAUACUUCCAAGAAAAGCUUGCACUGUCAUAGAUAAAAAACGCCUGUACCAUAACCGACACAGGUGGGUAGGUAGAGUAUACUAAGGGGCGCGAGAUAACUCUCUCUAAGGAACUCAGCAAAAUAACUCCGUAACUUCGGGAGAAGGAGUGCCUUAUUCGUAAGGUUGCAAUAACAAGAUCCAAGCAACUGUUUAUCAAAAACACAGGUCUCCGCUAAGUCGUAAGACGAUGUAUGGGGGCUGACGCCUGCCCAGUGCCAGAAGGUUAAAGAAGUUGGUUAGCAAUUGCGAAGCUGAUAACUGAAGCCCUGGUGAACGGCGGCCGUAACUAUAACGGUCCUAAGGUAGCGAAAUUCCUUGUCGGGUAAGUUCCGACCCGCACGAAAGGCGUAAUGAUUUGGAUACUGUCUCGGAGAGGGGCUCGGUGAAAUAGACUUGUCUGUGAAGAUGCGGACUACCUGCACCAGGACAGAAAGACCCUAUGAAGCUUUACUGUAACUUGAAAUUGAAAUUGGACUUUAUUCGCGCAGCAUAGGUGGGAGGCGUUGAUUAUAAUCUUGCGGGAUUAUUGGAGCCAUCAGUGAGAUACCACUCUUGUAAUGUUAGAUUUCUAACUUUGAAUCAUUAUCUGGUCAAAGAACAGUUUCAGGCGGGCAGUUUGACUGGGGCGGUCGCCUCCUAAACGGUAACGGAGGCGUACAAAGGUUUCCUCUGAACGGUUAGAAAUCGUAUCUAGAGUGUAAAGGCAUAAGGAAGCUUGACUGUGAGACCUACAAGUCGAGCAGGGACGAAAGUCGGUCUUAGGGAUCUGACGGUACUGAGUGGAAAGGCCGUCACUCAACGGAUAAAAGUUACUCUAGGGAUAACAGGCUGAUCUCCCCCAAGAGUUCACAUCGACGGGGAGGUUUGGCACCUCGAUGUCGGCUCAUCGCAUCCUGGGGCGGUAGUACGUCCCAAGGGUUGGGCUGUUCGCCCAUGAAAGCGGUACGCGAGCUGGGUCCAGAACGUCGUGAGACAGUUCGGUCCAUAUCCGGUGUAGGCGUUAGAAUUGAGAGGAGCCUUCUUUAGUACGAGAGGACCGAGAAGGACAUACCUCUGGUGUACCAGUUAUCGUGCCAACGGUAAACGCUGGGUAGCUAUGUAUGGAGUGGAUAACCGCUGAAAGCAUCUAAGUGGGAAGCCCACCUCAAGAUAAGUAUUCUCAUC
rnacentral:rRNA from 1 species